GUUCUCUCGUGACCAUUUAAGCGAAUGUGUUGAUUUAUUGAGCAUCCUGGAAGAUAAAGAUGUUUUAGACACUCGAAUGGAAAAUACACAUUUUUGCCUGGAAAUGAUGAAUCUUUAUGAUGCUUUCUUUCCUCUCCUCAUGUCUAACAUCCACGCCAUGAAAGUGACCAGAGGAGACUUUUUCUUCUUAGCAAAGAAUUCCCCUUAGGAAGAAAGAAAGGUGUGGCAGUACAGGUUCCCUUGGCCAGGAACACUGCUUCACUCACAGGUGGUCCCUCUUCAUUUUCUGCCUGCUUCUUUCUAUUGUUGGAGUGAUCAGCUUACUGUGACCACCCAGAAGCCAGAGGCAAAGUCGUUCUUCAAAUUUAAAAUCAAAACAGGAUAGCAGGUCUAGAGAACAGAAUUUUUGAAGAACUUAUCACACUCCCUGCAUCAUGUCAGGAACAAAUGCAUGUUAUCUGCACAUUUGUUUCAGGAGUAUAUUCAAUUCUCCGAUAAGCACAGAGGAAGCUCCUUUGGGGAUUCCCUAUACAUGCUGACUUUGCAUAACCUUAGUAGCUCAGUUUUUUAUGAGAACUAUCUCCUUUUUCCAAACAAUCCUCAGCUGGCAACACUGGGAACAAGAGAAAUUCUGGAAUAGCUGUUUAAUUUGUUUUCCUUUCUCCCACUAGCUGGUUUAAUUGUUAUUUAAAACACCUUGCAGAUAUUUUAGUAAUCAUGGUGCGAUUCUGGAUGUUGCUUUUUAAAGGUGAUAGUGUAUCUGUCCUAGAGUAAAAAUACUCAAGCAUAAGUUUGUGAAGAUCAAUUAACAAGUCCAGAAAUCAGCACUUUGAAUACAUGCAUAGGCAAAUCAGAAAGUUUUGCUGCCAUGUGGCACAAAACACAUAAGUAUCACCAGUUUUGGUAGUCAUCAAAAUACUUAGCUCUUCACUCAACCUUUUUCCAUUUUUGUGGUUUAUAAAGUGUUUGUGAUUCCCCUUCAGAUUAAUUGCUUUCUGCUCUGUGAGAGCUUAUGUGUUUUUAUAGACCAUACAGCAAAUAAGCACGUACUGUGAGUUAGGGAGACAGAAGCGUGACCAUUGUGAGUAGAAAGACCUAAAUACAAUGUUGCCAUGCAGCAGAGCAGCUCUUGGAAUUCGGUUGGUCUUACACAGAAAACAGUGCCAGUUACAUGGCCUGACAGGUCGUGGUGUUUAAUAAAACAUAGAAGUGACACAGAAAGCUUUGGCUGCACGUUGGGUUUGGUUUUGUUAGUACAGCUAAUGGCAUGUGGGCUUUGCCAGCCCACAUUUGGACAAAUGAGCUAAAGUGCCACUUCCAGGGAGCUUGGUUUUCUGUCGUAGGCUCUCUUCUCCUUGUGGUUUUUCUAAUUUAAUUUCACAACCUAACAACUGCUUCUGGAAUCAUUGAUGCUAAAUGGGUAUGUUCAUGGGGGUGGGUGGAAAACAGAUGGAGGAUGCUACUGAAAGCCAUCCAUUGUUCUUGUGUUGUUUCAUGUCUUUAUUUCCUCUAUAGCCUCCUAUAAGUUGGCAACUGAGGUCAUCCCAGUUGAGCAGGCACGGGGAGGAAAGCAUACAGGGGCGCUACGGAAAGGUUGAUUGUGGGGUGAGGGAGGGCCCAUGGCAGUGAGGGGGUCUAGCUUGAAAGGUGAGACAGUCAUUCCAGCUCACAGUAGAAUAUGCCAUUUGUCAGACUAGACUAGAGCAGGGUCCUGCCUUGCCCCCAUCGGUGUGUCUGGUAGGAUCACAUGAGCAGUGCAUUGUCCUGACAAGCUAUUGAAGAUACCACCGGUCCACCUGUAUUCUUCUGGUAAGUGAAGCAGUAUUUCAACCGCCUUUAUUAACAGCCCAUCAGUGGCAUCAGUCAUGCAGACUCCUGGGGAGAUCAGACAGGAUGCCAGUUCAGGAGUGGCAAUAGCGCUCCCUCUUCCCCAUGCAAGACGGCAGUAGGGAAUUCGAGAGAGGGAGAGUGACUUCCAUGGAGGGCUAGCCUUAAAUCUACCCUAUUCUGUGACAGCGGAUCCUUCACAAAGGUUGGACACUUUUUAGAUCAAGUGUGCCCUGACACGGGAUGUUGAGAAUCACUGCCUUGGAACAGUAGCUCUGACAUCAGACUACGAGCCAGAGAGUUCCUAGGGAACUUUUCUAAAAAUUCAGGUUACUGGGUCCCUAAUUCAGUAGUCCUAGAGAGGGGCUUGAGUACACAGGCACACACGCACACAGUACGUGUACAUGUGUGUGUGUGCCUGUGCCCAUAUUCAAACUUCCCCCAAGUGAUUCUGUCAUGGGAAGUGCUUCCUAGGAUCACUCCAUAUACUGAUGACACACAAUACAGCAGGCAGGACAUAGGUGACCUUCCCCAAAAGGGGUAAGGACAUACACCCUUGACAACUUGGAUACAAAAUCUGAGUGUGGCAAGUGCCCCAGUCACCAGUGGGGGCCGGGGCACAACACUGAAAAGGACAAGGUUAGCAAACCACGUCCCCUGUGGCCCCCAUUCCAGUCAUCACGCUGGUACCAACCAUCCUGCAAACCUUCCUCAGAACGCGACGGGAAUUGUGUCCUGCCCAAAGAACCGUGAGAGAAACAUCCUCAGGUCGGGGAAUAUGAGUUAGGAGGCAAUGCGGAGCCCGCCACCAUCAUUCCAUCCUGAAUGCUGCAGCUGCACAGCUUGUGAAUUUCAUGUAAAAUGCCAGGGCCGUCAUUCUUUUAGAUUCACCACGGUGAGGCUAUCUUGAUAAUAAUAAUAGCAACUCACAUAAACUAAGCACAUGUUUUGGGCUGUUCUAAAAACUCAUUUUAUAACUUUUUGAGGUGGGUACUCUGAUUUUUGCCAAUAGGGAAAUUGACGUACUGAGAGGUUAACUUGCCCAAGUUACUACCAAGCUGGUAAGUGGUAGAGCCAAGAUCUAAACCCAGGUGGUCUGGCUUUCAGAAAUAGCCCCACCUUACUGGGGGCUGUGUUAACAACCUCUAUGCAUCUCAGAAAAAGGGGCCAACAGAUUUUAUUCUGAUCAAAUUUGGAUGAAGGCAAAAAUGAAGGUUUGAAUCAUUUUGGAUUUGUGUAUGACGAUUUAAAAAUUGACAACCUUGCCAUUUAUUUAACACCCAUGAAAGAAGCUCCUUUUAGAAUGUUUAUGGGAAUCGGGCAGCUACCUAAAUGCUGUUUUAAAAAGGAGUCUAAUUCUCUUCAUUCCGAAGCAUUAGUUUAAGUUCCCACAAAUUCAACUCCUAUUAUUAUUGCUUAAUAUAAUAUUUAAAUAUUAGAAAUCAGGAA